AUAGCUGGUCUCUGUGCUGUUUCACUGUGUUUAAAGAACAUGUGUGCUGCCAUCAAGUGGAAGGAUUUACACUCCAUCUCUAAUCAAAUAUAACAUUCAAGUCUGAAAAUAUUAGCUACAAGUUUUGGACUUUUUUUAGUCAAAUCUUUUUUGGGGAAAAGCUACUACUUGUAAUGCUAGGGCAAAUCAAGUCCGUGUUAUUUUCUACUUGAGCCUAGCCAGGGUUUUUUCCUAUGGUCCAUAAGCUAUACAUACAUCAGAAAUAUUAAGUAGUAAUACUUGCAAUUGGAUAGUACCUAGUUCUUAGUCAUAUCACAGGAUCUCCAGAGCUUUCAUCGAAGCAGGAUGCAAUAAUUACUUUUUUGAAACAAAGAAAAAGAAUGAAAGAAUGUUUAUAUUCCUUUAUAUGUUACAUAUAAUAUUUUCAUCUCACUCCCACAGUUUCGUAAGUUUCUUAUGUGAGAGUCCUUGAGAGCAAACAUAAACGUAGCCAAGAUUUCAGUAUAAAAAAGAAUUGAGGUAGAGUACUUAACUCCAGCAAAAAAGAGGCAUUCUGUAAAGGAGAAUUUUAUAGUUUAAGAAUGAAAUGUUGCCAGUGGGUGAGUAAGACAAUGUUACUCUGUUUUAUUCUGGAUCACAUGAAUAAAAUAUGAGUACGUUUCAUUGUGGAAAGUGAUUGUUAAGAAAUCAGUUGGGAAUUGUGUGCAGAUUUCAGUGAUAAAUGUUCAUUGAGGGAAGAAAUACAAUAAUUUACAAUCUUUGAGAAGUGUUCAACACAGUUAUUGAGUUUACAGAUUACUCAUACACGGUGUCCUUUCUUCAACGUCAGAUCUAAAAAUCCAGAACUUUGGUUAUUUCUUCAGGGUUUGGGAAAUAUGAGUCCUGUAUAUGAGCAGAGUAGAUGGCCAAAGUGGUACAUAUAGCCAUCUGCUCUGGGGUUUUGUGCCAGGACAGCUACAUCCAUGCUGCAAGCUUACAGUUUGCUGUGGUUGGGUAAAAUCCUGGAAUAAUCCAAGGACUUAAUCCAUUUAUAUUAAGAAUGUACAAAGUCUCAUAAUCAUGUUGUCACUAAGCUAGGCUAUAAAGUAGCUGGACUUUAAUUUAGGUCUUUCUUAUGCAGAGCGGCUGAGUUGAUUUUGGUUUUGCUGCUUUUUUUACCCACUACACUAACCUGUAUGUGAUACUCCAUAUGGUGCUCUGACAAGCACACGCAGACUGGUGGUGGCAAAAACUGCUGUAACCAGGAAAAAAAGUUAUCUCUCUUCAGCCAUGUUAUACCUCUUCUGUGAUAAUAGUGUCUCAGCCAAGGAGCACCCUCAGUUUCUCUUUACUGCUUCAAUUUUCUAUAACCUCAUUUUCUCAUUCUUUCAGCAGUUUUUUGUGAGGGUGAAGUGAAAUGUGAAAUGAGUUUGCUCUAAAGGAUGUAAAAAGGCAGUGUCUUUUAAGUGAGGUAGAUCAGACCAGUGGUGCGAACACCAGAGGAACUUCUAACAUCGUAUGAUGGUGACUGGGCUCCUCUUGGGCUGAGUAGUGAGUGUGUAGAUCUCUACCACCACAUGUUUCAAAAAACUGCCAACCCUGAAUGUAGAGACUUUGUACAGUAAAUAACAGCAUUAUUCUCUACGGAAUUAACUGUGUGUAUUUAAAAAUGAAUAAUUGUUUUUGUUAGCUUUAUAAUGCCUUUAGAUCUGUUGGCCUGGAGGUAGACCAGCCCGCUGAGAUCAAAGGCUGCUCUUGGUUUCAGUGACACUGCUGUCUAUUUAUUCAAUAUAUCUCCUGUUGGUGUGUUCAAAGGAAACAGGCUGCAUGGUGUAUGAAAAGCUGGGUGAGCAAGUCUUCGGUACCCCAGGGAAAAUGAUUGUCUUUGGAUCUACAUCUCUCCAGAACGUUGGAGCAAUGUUGAGCUAUCUCUUCAUAGUCAAAAAUGAGCUGCCUUCUGCCAUAAAGUUUCUAAUGGGAAAAGAAGAAACUUUUUCGGCAUGGUAUGUGGAUGGGCGGAUUCUUGUUGUCACAGUGACGUUUGGUAUAAUCCUCCCUUUAUGUCUCCUUAAGAACUUAGGGUAUCUUGGCUAUACCAGUGGAUUUUCAUUAAGCUGCAUGGUAUUUUUCCUAGUAGUGGUUAUUUACAAGAAGUUUCAAAUUCCCUGUGGUGGAUCGGAGCUAAAUGCAACAUCAUCUAGCCUAUCAAAUAGCUCAGCAUAUGAACAUAUGUGUAAGCCAAAGUAUGUUAUCUUUAAUUCCAAGGUAUGUUUCUUUUUAUAAUACUUAUUCUUAAUUCACAUAACAUAUGCACCUACACCUCGUGUUCUUAAUGUGUUCAGCAUCAUGCUGGGCCUGAUUCUCCAUGCUUCCACGCGUGCUCCUUGCCCAGUCUUAAGGAGAUGCCAUGUUGAACGUCCCUCCUUGCAGUCUUGCUCUGCUCCGGUAGUAGAUGUGCCAAGGCUGUGAGCCCAAGCUACCACCAGACAACUAAUGCUUUCUUUGGGAGAGUUUUCCUUUCCACUGCUUCUCGCUAUCCAUGCUGGAAUUGCACUUCCACGCUGUAGUUGAGCAGAGGCUGAGUAAGCCAUUCCUGCAUCCAAAGCCCAGAAGUAAUCCCUCUGUCCUCCUGCAGACAAACCAUUUCUUUGUGACAGGGUACAUGUUUCUGUAGCCAUACAGUGUGCUGGAUUGCAAAAAGGAUAUAGUUGAGAGCUAAUCCAGCAGAAAUUUGAUUGUCUUUCAGCUGGAUGCUUUCCUCCAUCACUGCACAGCUGCAGGGAAAGCUGUGCCAAGAGAAUGUGAAAGAGCAACUGGCUGUAGCUGUGGGAGCAGGAGGAUUGCUCCUGCCAGCUGUGCCAGGGCGCAGUGUUCUUAAACAACACCUUAUCCAGCAGGGCAGGUCCCCAGGGUGCUGCAGUCACAUCCACAGGGAAUGCACACAUAUAGCAUAUGCAUGCAAAAUUUAAUGUUUUUUUGAAUUAAUCCUACCGGCUUCACUUGAAAAAGCCAACCUGAGCACUUUUCUUUGGUUAGGGGCAGCAGUCAGCCCAGAUGCAGUGUGAUGGACUAAGAAUUAGUUGGUGUACAGUAGCAGCUUAGGUGUAGGUAUAUUUUAGAUAGCGUUGAAGGGCAGUCUUCUUCUCAAGCAGUGUCAGCAUUUGACUCGGAGUCAGUGGAGGCACAUUGGAAGUAUCAGUCCAUCUGAACUGGUCAUGCUUGAGCUGAACUCUAGAGAUUUGCCCUUGGGGCCAACAGUUUGCCAGUCAUUUUAGCUACUUUGGUGUGUGAGACGAGAGACAGUUUCACAGAAUCAGAGGGUGGCUGAGGUUGGCAGGGACCUCUGGAGGUCCAUCAUCUGGUCCAAACUCCCUGCUCACGCAGGGCUGCCUAGAGCCAAUUUCCCAGCACCAUGUCCAGGCAACUUCUGAGCAUCCCCCCGGAGCGUGCUGUGAGUGAGGGAGAGGAGGCAGCACAGGAAGGACGGCUGGAAAGCAACCAGUGUAUUUACUGGAUAUGUCAGGCCUGGGGCGUACACCAGGAUGGCUUCUGUGGGAAGGGCAUGCCUGCGGCCAGCAUGAGUAGAUCUCAGAGGGCUGAGGGGAGCUGCAUGUAGGGAUAGACUCAUUUUGUCCUUGCAGGAGGACCUGUUUUUCAUGUGAUCUCUGCUCAUACCCAUUCCCAGGGGAAAAUGGAAGUGCUUGGGCACUGAGAUCAUUUGUGAAAUCUGGCUGUGUGCUGAGACUGAAACCCACUCAGGUUUUUGGUGGAGAAGGGGGUGAGGUCCCCCCAGGAGGCCUCCUGUGCUUCCUGGUGACGUAACGGUCUCUCUCUUUCCCCAAGGAAAAGCAUGCUCCCUCCACAGCCCUCCUAGCCCUUUUGUUGGCCUGGGAAAUGAAGGGACUCAGUCUGGUAUCUUGAAAUAUCCAUUUAUUUGUAAGUUCUGCAUUCCUGUUCUCUUUUCUUACAGUCUGGAUAUGGGCUUCCUCUUCAGGACUUCAGCCUUAGCACCACGGGUGCGCGCCCUUCUCCAUGCCAAGGCAGGGUAGCGUGGCGGUGACCCGCCAUACGUCCCUUGUACACGUGACACUGUUCUAGUAGCGCUGGCGGUAGCCGGGCAGGGAAACCCAUCCCAGGGAGCAAAGCCAGCGGCCACAUGGCAUCCAGCGCUGCGCUCUGCGAGCAGACUCAGCACUGUGCUUGCGCGACCAAGGAGAAGGCUUUGUCCUCCCGUUGGGAGAGCGCUGCUUUCCAUGUUUCAUUAAACACGUGCCAAUUGACAGGUCUUCUGCCUCCUCUGAAGGCUCUCAACGUUCGCUUGAAGAGUCCAGAGAGGUGGGAGCUGAGGUAGUUGAACACAGAUUGUGUCUUCACGCCACUGGGGGAAAUACUUCUUAACUUGUUCUCUGAAAUUCUCUCUGAACAGACCGUGUACGCUUUGCCCACCAUUGCUUUUGCAUUUGUGUGCCACCCGUCAGUCCUCCCGAUUUACAGUGAACUUAAAGACCGUUCACAGAAAAAAAUGCAGUUGGUUGCAAAUAUCUCAUUUUUUGCCAUGUUUAUGAUGUACUUUAUGACUGCCAUAUUUGGCUAUUUGACUUUCUAUGGUAAGUAUGCAGUUCUUUACUGAUCAAAGUAGAAAGGGAAUACAUGUGAAAUCAAUAGCGUAUCCCAGCUGGAAAGGAAAGCCCCAUCUAUUUACGUUAAAAUACUUACUCAAAUAAUUUUCCUUAAGGUUUUCAUAUUGAAGGUACAAAUCUUUUCCUCCUUUUUCCCUAUGGAUGAAAAGCACAAGUGAAAGUAUUAUUUGCAAAAGGCAUAUUCAAAACAUAAGGGAGAGAUUGGUUUAACAGCAUUGGGGAUUAGCUGGGCCCCAGUAAGAUUUUAGUUCCGAGGUCCUCACCUGAAUGUUGUGUACACUGGAAAUGAUUGAAGCGUGGCAUAUCUGCAUAAAAUGAGACAGAUUUGAGAGCAGGAAAUGAGUAUCAAAUCAGCCAUCACAGCUUUUUUGUGUCCUUAUUGAUGCUUUUAUCAUAGAAGUGGAGGAUCAAAUGUUUUCCCUGCAUCCCUAGAGCUGACCCCUCCAGGUACUGAUUAAAUAAACUGGCAGUGAAGAUGGGGAAGCUUUGAGAGUUGUCCCAGCUCAGCUGCCGUAGGAUGGUUGUUUCAGUGUUUGAGACUUGCACCCUGUCUCUUUUCAUGCAUAUCAAGUCACAAACAAAUUAUGUUGUAUCACUAGAGGAUACAACAUGUAUGCCCUAAAGGCAAAAUUAUUAAGUAAAGCAGGAUAAAACAUGAGUGUUGCCCAGGAAGCUACUCCCACGUCCCAGUAUAAUGGGAAUAUUGAAAAGUAGUGUCUUUUUCCAUGGACCAUUAAGGGGUUACAAGACAGAUGACAAAGCUGAUGUUUGCCUUUUACGUCAGAGUCCCUAACAGGUCAUCAGUCUUCUCCACCCUAUUCCAAGUAACCUUUUUGUUACGAGCUUCUUAUUCAUGAUACCGUUCCUUGUGAGCCACAUAUUGCAAGAGAAAGAAAAUAAGUAAAUAUGAAAUGUGGCGCUUUUUUUCUCCCCAAAGGUGUAUUUAUCUCUUAUUUGUUUUCUCUUAUUGUGAGGCCUCGAGUCUGCAUGCAGUGAAGUAACUCGAGGUCAUCUGUUCUAACUUUCCCAAUCAAACCACAAACCCUCUGCAAGUGACAACCACCACAUCCGUUCUCAUCCAACUGCUCCCAUCUAACACGUUUUCGUAGAAACGCAUCAAAUUAGCGGCCCCGGGGAGCAAGUUGGUGUAAAUCAGCACGGACCCCUUCGCUUUGGCAGGGAGGAGAUUCUGAUGUGAUUGCCCCAGGGAUCUGAGGAGGCAGAUCCGUGGCGCUCCUCUCUGGGAAUCUCCCACGCCCCUCAAGGACGAGGGUCUGGAGUCCAUGGAGGAGGUAGGGGCUGCGUCCUUCUGGCCCUCCCAAGGGGGAAUGGCGGAGGAAUCCCUGGGUGUCUCGUGUGCCUCUCCCCACAUCAGGCGUCCCUGCUCCCCAGCGCCAAGAGCCUGCAGGUGGAAGCUGUGCGGCUCUGCUACAGCUUCUGCAAUGGCCAGUGCCAUGGCAGGCAGCAAAGAACACACUGAAGGAAUACAGAAUUCCUCCACUUUGAUCCUUUUUUCCCUUGAGACUGACAAGACCUUACCUUUCAUAUGUUCACUUACAGUUUUCUAACCCUCUUCUCUACCCUUAACUGGGUAAGAACAUUUUUAUUGUGGCCAUUUCUUCUUCACACCAAUAGUACUUGUCUGUUUGCUGUGUUCUCGAAAGUGUUGCAGUGAUGACUAUAUUUACAUUGCAGAAUUACAGAAAAGAGGUGUUUUUCUUCCCCUAAAAGGUCACAGUGUGGUUGGGCUCUGUGGUGUAUCUAGCUGAAAGGAAAACAGACCUUCAACUGUAAGCCUUGCCCUUCACUUCCUACCUGGCUGCAGUCCGUGAGCGGUACAGAAGUUGCAGUCUGUGCUUACAGGAGCAGAGUAAGCUCUGUGUUGCAGAAGCUGUGCAUGUGCCCGGCUUGAAAACCCCACUCCUAAUCUGCAGGGAGGUGGGAAAGUGUUUUCUUUCUCCUGGUGGGAAUUCAAGCACUGUGUAGGUGGUGGUGACCCAUGAUCUCUCACCAGAAGGGUGUCCUGGGGGGAGCACAGGCAUUUCACCGCAGGACAGAUCCCUCUGCCUCCAGGAAUACAUGAGGUUUACCAAGUGCCAAAGAUUUUAAAUUAGACGUGGCUGCCGAGUUCCCUUUAAGGACUUUGCUUUAAGAGCUGUGAUGUUUUACCAGCAGCUUUCUAAGAUUAGCAAUCAGAAACAAAACAUGAGCCUAAAAUGGGGCAGCGAGUAUGUUUUGUGGUGUGCUUAAGAGCCGCCCCCUUAGAUUAUUGCUCCUAGAUAUUAAAAAGUUGCAAAGCAAACACAUAGGUCCCUCAGCAACUUGGUUUUCCUGUUGGUUAGCACACACAGACCCGCUCUGCGCUGUUUUCCGCAGCUGCAAGGAACCAUUUUGGCAGGAGGUUGUGUUAAAACACUGCCAGUGCCUGCACGUUAGGCACCCCCCAUGAUUUCUCUUGGCUGCUGGGGCCAAGCUGCAGGCACUGCUGGGGGGUGGCAGGUUCAAGAGAAGAAACCAUCAGGGCAGCCCUCGGAGGAGCUGCUGAGGGAUUUGAGGCAAAUGUCAGAGCAUCCCACUGAGAGCUGACCCCAGAUAGGCUUUGUUCUUGGUUGAGAACAGGGGCACUGCUUUUCACUGGAGGUUUAUUUGCUGUUGAGAUUAAUUUAGCUCAAAACCUUGUAGUUUAUAUUAAGUUCAGCAGUUGCCGUGCAUGUGGUUAUUUUUAUAUCAUUUGAAACUUAGAAAAAAAAAAGCCCACGGAACUAAUUAGAAAUAGCUUAUUUCAAUUUACUUAUUUUUUUAUAUAUGUAUAUAUGUAAGCAAGCUUUUGUGUAUGUCUCACUGUUGUCUUUCCUACAGUGAAAAUUACCUUAGACUUAGGCAUGUGCUGUCUUGAAUUAAGAUGCAUUCCUAAAUCAGGCCUCCAAAGGAUUAAUCUGGAAUAAUGGGAUCAUUAGGAUUUGGUUCAAAGCGCUGUUUUAACUCAAGAACGUUUCAUUCCAUACUCUUUUGUUUGCAGAUAAAUCACUUGUUGUUCAAGAAGGCUGUUGUUAAGCAAUGAUUUUUGUGAACAGCUUGCCUCUUUGCUAGCACACUUACCUUACCGUCUUCCCAUAGACACUGUGCAGUCAGAUCUGCUUCACAAGUACCAGAGCAAAGAUGACAUCCUCAUCCUGACCGUGCGCUUGGCUGUGAUCGUUGCGGUGAUACUCACGGUGCCGGUGCUGUUUUUCACUGUGCGUUCAUCAUUAUUUGAGAUGGCUAGAAAAACAAAAUUUGACUUAUGCCGUCAUGUUUUGGUUACUGUUGUUCUUUUGGUUAUCAUCAACCUGCUAGUCAUUUUUAUCCCAAGCAUGAAGGAUAUUUUCGGAGUUGUAGGGGUCACUUCUGCCAACAUGCUGAUUUUCAUUCUUCCUUCAUCGUUGUAUUUAAAAAUUAAACAGCAGGAUGGAUCAAAGUUGACUCAGAGGAUUUGGGCUUCUCUUUUCUUGGCAUUGGGGGUAUUGUUCUCCCUAGUGAGCAUUCCCUUGGUCAUCUAUGACUGGGUACAAUCAGGAGGCAGUGCUGAAGGCCACUGAAGUUCACCUCCUUCUGAAGACGCCCCUGUUUGCUACACACCAAAAUCGCAACCAUCCGUUCUGUUAUCUAUCCCAUCUUUUGUGAGUUUACUCAAAUCAAAUCCAAAUAAUCAUUAUCCAGUACUGAAAAUACUGUUAGAAAACAGACCCGUUUUCCCAUCACUCUGUCCCCCAAUACUGCAUUAUCAGAUCAGCGCUGAGUCUGUGUUAAUUGUUUGUAAGACUGUAUAGAGCGUUGCUCAUAGGAAUUCAUCACAAUUAAUUUGUUUCCCCUCUUCCACCCAUGAAAUUGCAUUGUUCCUUUAUUAUCCUUAGCCUUUCAGUCAUAAGCUCUGCUCUUUUAGAGCAGCAGCGCCUGUUGUUAUCAAUCCCAACUGGAGUGAUGUCCGCUCACACCCUUUCCCUCCCGUCUUUUAGCCAGAACGCUGCUCUCCAACUGUACCCAUCCGGUUUGUCAGUUUGUUGGUUUGUUCUGUUGCUGUUUCAUGCACCAUUUGCCUCACUGGAUUAAGUGUAGCAUUCUGGAUAUGUGCACAAAAAGCACUCUGAGAGCGUAAAAGAGCAUUUUAUAAGCAUAGGUCCUAAAUUUGGUGCUUCUCUCUAAUGUUCUGGUGGGGAAACCAGCCCCAGGGCUUGGCCCUUUUGUGGUUUUGGGGAACAGACCUGUAUGUGUGUGUGUGUCUUUGUAACAGGGUGCAGGGCACAGGAAAAAGACAGCCACCAAGACGUUCCCCUGGCACACUUCAGUUGGAGCCUGACCAGAACUAGACUUGAUCCCAAACUAUGAGUACUUGAGCCUGACAAGAAGUCAAGCUCAAGAAUCUCCGAGAAGCAGAUGCUCGGAGAUUUCCAUAGGAAGUCUCUACUUUCUUCAGCAUUAAGCUGUUUACUAAUGCCCCACAUCCCUCAGAAAAAAAAAAAAAGGGAAGAAAAAAAAGAGACAAGCUCCAGUUUUAUCAAAACCUAUGCAUUUAAUCAUACCUCAUGUCUUUUCCAUUCUGGGAUUCAUGUGUACAUACCUUGUUGAGAUAGGCUCCUCCCUUGUGUCUUACCCUCCUCCCACUGAAGUCAUCGGGGUUUUUGACAGCAGUGGGAGCAGGAUUUGACUCACCCUGCCAAACUGCUAGAUUUCUAAUGGAAAUUGAAAUCCAACAUUUCUUUAAAAAAAAAACCAGAAACACUUUUUAUAUUUAAAAUGUUUCAUUUACAUUUCUCAUUGAUUCUCCCUGAUAGUUAAAGACAAGACAUUCAAUUACUACUAGCAGAAACACUGUAAAUUGCAUCUGUUGUCCACAAAAUAAGCAUUUGCCUAAUGCCUUAUAGCUGGUGUAGAGAACUACUUGUAGAGACUGAAAUGCUAAGCAGGUGAUUGUUACCCAUCCUGAGCAGACAUCUUCUGUUAGUGCACUGCCAGCAGCAUAAAUGUUUUCAGUUUGUGUCAUUCACCAUGUGAGCUAAAAAGUGUCUCAAAAUAUGAACCCAGCUUCCACUGAAAGAACCAAUGGCUAAAGGGAGCCCUGCUUCAUGCCUGAGGGCGGAAUGAUGCCCUCGGAAUGCUCAAACCAUACCUGCCAGUAUGCAGUGACUCUCUUGUUCCCAGUAGCUGGUUCAUUGCCGACUCCCGUUGUAACCUGUGGAAGGAGACUGUCAUCGGCUGUGGGGAACCUGUCAUUGCAGCUUGCUCUUUUUAAGGUUAGGGAUGAAGAAUUUGGGGUCUUGGGAUUUCUGUGAGCUGUUGAAUUGCCUCAGUUGCCAUUGCCUUGUUCUGCAUGGCUUGAAGUCACUGAGAGACCACAGAGCACUUCUCAGGACCUUGAAAGUUGGCUUCUAAGAGUAACAUCCAGAGAGGUUAGUUUGGGGCCUUCUUUGGAAUUUGGGCAUCGAGAUGCAGAGCAUUCAUGCUGCAGAAACUAAGCCUAAUAAACCCAGACUUGUAGAUCUGUACCUCACCGUAGGCAGCGAGGUGCCCAGCUCUGCCAGUACUCCACUGUGAUCCAAAAAUACGGCAGAGUGGACUCCACAGGCAGCCCAAGUCCUUGGAGUAGCCCAGCAGCAAGAACAAAACUGGAAGCCUCCUCUCUCGGAUCAAAGUGACCUGGUAGACUGCAGAGCGGAGUUCCCUUAUUCUGUGUUCCUCUGGCCCUCAGACCUUCACUGACAGGCUCCCAGCAAGGUCCCCAGUGCAGAGUCCCUCCUCCCAAGUACCCCACAGCCCAGCAUUUAACGCACAAACUGCUGAGCUCCCUGGGACCCCCGGGCUAAGGUCCGAGCUUUCCUGCAGCUGGUCUCAGACCCUUGCCUGCGAUGGUGCAGGUCACCAUUUCUCUCUGCACUGGCUCCUUAUGAGACUGAUCCCUGCCCUUAUUCCCAGAGAAGUCCAUACCACAGCCUACGAGGCCAGGUAUUCAAGCUCUGGAGAGAAGAACCUGUGCUAGGUUGCCAUCUCGCAGCUCAUUCCAGGCAUAUUCCCAGCUCAGGAUGUAAGUUUGUGGCUCCCCUUUUGCAGGCAUCCAACACUCCCUGGUCACUGCAGCAGGAGCCCAGCAUCUCACUCUGUUCUCUGACUCGGCUUGCUGGGGUUGCGUUUCAGGUUUUGAGGUGCCUUAUAAUCUCUCUGGAUCUUAUCCUGAAAAACCUAACUCAGACCUGAGAAGGCUUUACAGUGUUAUCCUCAAGAUGCUCCAGGGCUCUCCUGCUUUCCUCCCCUCUUCAUCCUUCUACUACUGAUUUAUGAGCAGAGCAGCUCUGUGCAUCAGGGGGUUGUGAGAGAGAAGAUCCUGGGAGCAACUUUCAAGUACCCGUGUAUGAGCUAGAGGUCUGAUCUGCUGCAUGGGGUCCCAGCAAGGUCACAUCUGUGACAUCUCCCUCCCACAUUCCCACAAAUGGUCUGUAGUCCCCUAUUUAAAAUACCAGCCAUUGAGUUUUGGCACCCAUCUUCCUUCGGCUGGAAGAGCUGUUGGGUGACUGAUUGCUCCUUGCAUCUUCCCAAAUUUCCUCCAUCACUAUCUCUCUCUCUCUUUGCUAUUCUGCCUUCUUCUUUUUCCCAGUUUAUUUGUAUAUGGGAGUUUUACUGGAUAAACAGGGAGAAGAACGAGCUGGGUGUGUGCAUGGAGUGAAAUUACCCAAGUUACUGGACUAUCAAAGUAUAUCUUAGAUACUGAAAAAUAGACACCCAAAAUAUUGAGUCUUUAAACAGACUUUGCUUCUGGGUCUCUGAAAAAAAGAAAAAAAAAAAAAAGAGGGAAUUUUGCUGAGACUGAUUUGCUGGCAUCAUAUUUAUAGAUAUUUAUGGAAAGGAAUCAUGUGUUUAUUGAUGUCUGUGGUAAUGAACGUGAAAUAACGUGCUUUUUGUUUUCUCAUCAGGUUUAUACAUUCUUAACAGAAUGCAAUAGACCCUGCUGUAACUGUCAACAUCAGUGAUGGAUGACAAUAUUUGUAUGAGGUUAUCUGUAAAAUGUACUGCUGUUAUUCAGUUCAUUUGGAAUAGUGAACUUGUAGCCAACGAUGUACGAGUCCCACAUUUUAGCUAGGAUUUUAAGAGCACAGUGAAAUGCUGUAGGAGUUUCUCUGUUGUUAAAUUAAUAGGAUCCAGAGUACCGUAUCUACUUAGUAGGUGGUAGCAUGCUUUCUUUUCAUAGAGAGUUUAUCACUAUUGUGAGCACUGCAAAUGUUAUAGACUGGAUGGAAAAUUGCUCCUAAUAACUACAACAAAAUAGUUUUUAAUUCUUGUUUGCGUAAUAGCAACAAUUGAGUGGUAAGGGACAAGGAAGGACUAAUUAGAAGCAGGGGCUCCUAAUAAGAUCAUAGGUGUUAAUCCCACGUAAAAGACGGCUUUACUGCCGCUCCUAGUCCACAGCACAUUGCAAAGAAAAUAGUCAUGAGCUUAAAGCACCCUGACGGUUGCAUAGUACAGCUGCCCUUCUCUGAUGGCAAACACACCUAGCAAGUAAAACACAGUAAAUUGUUAUUUGGGAACAGCAUCUCGGGAGCAGCGACCUCUCUGUGUGAUGCUUGCUCCUGGUCAGAGGGCCAAUGCCAAAUCUCAGACCUUUUAGGGCUGAGAUGGGCUGAGUGGUGCCUGGCCCAGGGCAGAGCAGCCAGUCUCACCCUGCAAAGUCAGGGAUUGGGAUGCCCAUCCACUCCCGAGGGCUGCUUUCCUGAGCCACAUACCAACCCACGGCUUGUGCUCCGUUUGCAACAGGUCACACGUGCAAAUGCAGGUUGGAUGAUACAUGGGUUGAGUCUGUACAUCUGCCUUACAAUGCAUAAGCACCACAUCUCUCUCUGAUAUCAAGUAUUAACAGUAACAAUUAAUGGUAUCUCUAGCUUAUCUUUAAAUGAGUAAGUUUCUUUGCUUGAACCUUACAUUAAGGCUAAAGAGCAUCUUGGUCAAAACUAAACUCUUUCCAUGUGGUGGUGUCCCACCUCCAGUCCUACCGUCCCACCCCAGUGCCUGUAGGAGAAAGGCACAGCAGAAUGUACUCAGCUCCACGAGAUGCUUUAUCGCCUGGCGCCAGGGUGCUUUCUUAAACAAUUCCCCAGAGCCCUUGGCAUCAGGAAAAUCCUUAUUUCCUAUAACUUACACAAAGAAUGUUUUAUUUGUAUCUAAUGUAAGGAUUUCUGUAACAAACUGUGAAAAAAAAAGAUAAUGAAUUAAUAAAAAGUACAGGGCUGGAAAGGUCUAGAAUUCACAAAUUGUACACAUGCCUAUGUUACUGAAGACAAAUCUAUGCAGUUGUGUUGUAUUGUAGGAAAUUUCAUUUUUAUGUACAUAUAUAUAUUGUAAAUAAAUAGGAUGCUGUAUAUUUUUGCAGUUGUUUAUCCCCUAUGAUAUAGAAGUGUUGAAAUAGGCUCUGCAUAUGAAAAAUAAUUUUAAUAGGAAUACAAAUACUUUAGCUUCUGUCUUAGCGAAAUGUGUAUCCUUUCCUUUUUCCCAAGAGAUCACAUGUUAAAUCCUAAACUUGAAAUUAUAUAUAACUACAUCGCUAAUGUAACAAGAAAAGAGAAAUAAAAGCUCCAAUGAAAUUUUUAGGAUUAAUUCCAGUGCACGACCCCCUGUUUUGUCAACAGCAAGUUAGCCAGUUUUCCUGCUGGGUAAAAUAUCUCCCUUGUACCCCUUAGGUACGCAGGUACUUCUUACCUCUUCAGCUGAGGUUAAUUGGUAGUAAAGUGCUGAAAAGGCUUUAUGAAGAAACCAGAGCAAACUGCAGACAGCAGUUUGACCCAGCAUUAUGCCAUGUUGUGUCCAGGCAUGUAUUUACCUGACCAGUACAAACAGAAGUCAGGGCAGGAAUUCUGCAUUUCCAUUUUCAGCCACCAAAAAUGCCUGUAGUCCAGAAAAAAAAGUACUACAAACAAGGGGCGGGCAGCAGACAGGGAAGUUUGUGCCGUUUCUAGCCCACUCCCUUCCUGCAGAGUCCUGAGCUGCUCCUCUGCUGCAGACCCAGGCAUGUGGCUAUCACACAACCACAACACCAGCACCUGAGGAUGACAAGAGCAUCCCCAGCCAGGGGUUGCUUGAGCAUCCUAUUGUAUCAGCGGGCAGAGACCAGUAUUUUGGCUGUGGGAUAGCUGCAUGUCCAGGGAUGAGUAUGGUGGGAGGGGAGGGUUGAGUAUGUCCUGAGAGUGCCUCUGUCAAGAGCCUUGUGUAGACUUUCCUGCUGGUAAAGCACAGAAACAUGUUUUAUUCAGGAUUGCUGAAAUAUGGAGGUUGAGAAAUGCAUCUAAAAAUAAUUGUAUGUUUUUUCCAUGUUUAUGUUAUGGUCUUUUAUGAAAAUGAAACUUGAAAUACUGUUUGCUUUUACUGUGAGCACAAAUUUGAGGGAAAAAACCCACAUGUGGUCACUUCUACAGAGCUUUUCAAAUGAAUACAAGUGUAUGUUUUGUUUUCAGUGUUAUAGCCAACAAAAUAUAAACUGUAAAGGUAUUUUUCCACAAGACUUGAACUUUAACUUGUUUAUAGAAACCUGGUUUUAGUGUCCCAAGGUAUGUUAAGGCUCACCCAGAUCCAGUAUAAACAAUACUGUUUGAAUGAUGUAUGCUUGAUACGAGCUCGUCUCUAAUAGAUUGUUGAAGUGAGUCAUUGGUAAUAUUUUGCUCCUGCUAACAUCACCAUACUUUGUGCUGCUCAUAUCCAAAUAAACGAUGCAGUUUUUCAGUUUCUGUGUGUAAAUAAAGAAUAAAAAAAAAAGUAUGAAGUUCUGUGAUCUCUCUGUUACCACUGUGGGUUUUAAACAUUAAAAUUGUGAUCUAAACUAA